rnacentral:lncRNA from 1 species
AUUCAAAUGGGCCCUGCUGCCAAGACUUUUUUUUUUUUUUUUUUUUUUUUUUUACAAUGCCAUCUCUUCAUAUUGUUCCAUUUAACAAAACUGCAGCCCUUCAUCUAUCCUUAAGUCCCUUGGCCAAUGGUACAGAGCCAGAGUAUGCUACUCCCUAGCAGGAAAUCAACAGGAUGACCUACUAAACACCAUUCAGAAGAUGCUAAGACCCAUGAAUUGCAACAGGAAAGAAAAGACAGAGAAUUAAUCAGACAGGAAUCAAGGUUCCCUAGAGAAAUGGCUGACUCCAUGUAUGGUGCAGUAUAUUGAUCCUGGAACAUCUUUUUUGCCAGAAAGCAAGGAAGCCAUCAAAGUCCAACAGGAUCAUGUCAAAAAGACAUGAAAGUCAACUUGAAGAGAUAAUUAUUAACCUAGAUGAGACAAUGUAAGCAUCCAAAACAAUAAAGACUGCAAUGGCCUGAAAUACA